rnacentral:rRNA from 1 species
UAGGGAAUAUUGCGCAAUGGACGAAAGUCUGACGCAGCAACGCCGCGUGUGCGAUGAAGGCCUUCGGGUUGUAAAGCACUUUUCUGAGGGAAGAGAAAGGACUGUACCUCAGGAAUAAGUCUCGGCUAACUACGUGCCAGCAGCCGCGGUAACACGUAGGAGGCAAGCGUUAUCCGGAUUUACUGGGCAUAAAGAGCGUGUAGGUGGUUCGGCAAGUCGGAUGUGAAAGCUCCUGGCUCAACUGGGAGAUGUUAUUCGAAACUGCCGUGCUAGAGGACGAUAGAGGAAGAUGGAAUUCCCGGUGUAGUAGUGAAAUGCGUAGAUAUCGGGAGGAACACCAACGGCGAAGGCAGUCUUCUGGGUCGUUCCUGACACUGAGACGCGAAAGCAUGGGUAGCGAACG